rnacentral:rRNA from 1 species
GACGAACGCUGGCGGCGUGCUUAACACAUGCAAGUCGAACGGAAAUGCCCUGCUUUUGUGGGGUACUCGGGUGGCGAACGGGUGGGUACCACGUGUGUAACCUGCCCUUGCCUUGGGGAAAACGUCCUGAAACUGGGUCCAAUACCGGAUAGGAGCGCCUACUUCCUGGUGGGGGUUGGAGAGUCUCGGCGGUUGGGGGUGGACUCGCGGCUUCUCCGCUUGUUGGUUGGGUAGUGGCUUACCAAGGCUAUGCCGGGUAGCGGGGCUGAGAGGGUGGCCGGACCCACUGGGACGGAGAUGCGGCACAGACCCCUACGGGAGGGAGCGGUGGGGAAGAGUGUACAGUGGGCGGGAGCCUGAUGCAGCAACGCCGCGCGCGGGAUGAGGGCCUUCGGGUUGUAAUCCGCUUUCGUCUGUGACGAAGCGUGAGUGACGGUAAUGGGUAAAGAAGCACCGGCUAACUACGUG